CGGGAAGUGGCUCAGUUUGGCUAGAGCGCCUGCUUUGGGAGCAGGAGGCCGGCGGUUCAAGUCCGCCCUUCCCGA
rnacentral:tRNA from 1 species